UACGUAGGGUGCGAGCGUUGUCCGGAAUUAUUGGGCGUAAAGGGCUCGUAGGCGGUUUGUCGCGUCGGGAGUGAAAUCCACUGGCUUAACUGGUGGCUUGCUUUCGAUACGGGCAGACUGGAGGUAUGCAGGGGAGAGCGGAAUUCCUGGUGUAGCGGUGAAAUGCGCAGAUAUCAGGAGGAACACCGAUGGCGAAGGCAGGUCUCUGGGCCGAUACUGACGCUGAGGAGCGAAAGCGUGGGGAGCGAACAGG
rnacentral:rRNA from 1 species